rnacentral:rRNA from 1 species
AUUGAACGCUGGCGGCAUGCCUUACACAUGCAAGUCGAACGGCAGCACGGGAGCAAUCCUGGUGGCGAGUGGCGAACGGGUGAGUAAUAUAUCGGAACGUGCCCAGUAGUGGGGGAUAGCCCGGCGAAAGCCGGAUUAAUACCGCAUGAGACCUGAGGGUGAAAGCGGGGGAUCGCAAGACCUCGCGCUACUGGAGCGGCCGAUAUCAGAUUAGCUAGUUGGUGGGGUAAAGGCCUACCAAGGCAACGAUCUGUAGUUGGUCUGAGAGGACGACCAGCCACACUGGGACUGAGACACGGCCCAGACUCCUACGGGAGGCAGCAGUGGGGAAUUUUGGACAAUGGGCGCAAGCCUGAUCCAGCAAUGCCGCGUGCAGGAAGAAGGCCUUCGGGUUGUAAACUAGCUUUGUUCUAGGGAAGGAAAUACCUCUGGUUAAUACUCGGGGAGUGACGGUACC